UCUGUAUCCUUGUAAUGACUGUGGGAAGAGAUUCACAACAUCAAGGUCUCUGACAGUUCAUCAGAGAAUACACACAGGAGAGAAGCCUUACUCCUGCUCUGACUGUUGGAAGAGUUUCUCUCGACAGGGAAACUUAAAAAGACAUGAACGUAUACACACAGGAGAGAAGCCUUACUCCUGCUCUGAUUGUGUAAAAUGCUUUACAACAUCAACUGACCUAAAAGUUCACCAGAGAACACACACGGGAGAGAAGCCUUACUCCUGCUCUGACUGUGGAAAGAGUUUCUCUCGACUGGCCCAGUUAAAAAGACACCAAGCUCCUCUGUCAGAAACAACUUGAAGCACUCUGCCUCAGAUGGAAAUGGACUCCAGACUGGGACUCAUCAAAACAAACAGCAGGGCCAGGAGGGGUGAAAUGACUAGCGGCCUUCCAGCUACCACAGAACUCCUGUACUUCAUCCACUGUCGGUCUCCCUCCAUCACCACCAGCAUCUUCAAAGGGACCUGGUACUUGGUCAGUGGACAAGGGAACCUCAGAUUCAGGGUUCUCAAUGGCUACAAGGUUGGGGGGGGGGGGCAGCUCCUCACUGUCAGAAUCUGAUUCCUGACUUUCAGACUCAGACUCAUUGUCAGAAUUGUAAAAAAAAUCUCCAGAAUUUCCACAUUUGUGAGUUGUCUCCUUUUGAAAGACAUUGCUAAUGCUACAGCUUAGCUCACUAGCUACAUACAUAAACAACAACACUGAAUGGCUCAGAGUGAGAGGGGACGUGAUUGACUGCCGGCGUGCGUCACUUGUAUCAAUAAAUCACCAUCAGAAAAUGUUUUGUGAGGUAAUUAUUUGUGUAUUUACUGUUUUAUUCACAUGUUUUCAGUUCUGGGUGACAAAUCAUGCAUUCCGAUUCUUGCAUAGAUUGUAAUGGGCACAUAUUAUGUGUGUAAAAUACUUAUUUGAAGGUUAUACUGAUUAUGAUGAGCUAUGUGUAUGGAGCCAUGUUUGUUGACAUACAAUGCAUUCUGGGUUUCACGUAAUCAUCCGUUUGACCAAAGAUGUUAUAACAAAAUGAGGUGAGUAAGAGUUCACUCAUUUUUUGAGGACUUCUGGAAAUGAAUGGUGGGAUGUGAACGACGGUAGAUGACACACCCCUUCAACACUAUAAACAGACCGAACUCAUCUUGUCUUUUAUUAUCUUCGGUUUCUGUGAGGGAAAAAUGCAUGGCUGCGCGCUGAAACUAAUCGUCGGAUUACUGUCGAUUUAUAGGAAGUGUUUUACCUAAUUAUUUCGAUCAAUGGUGAGCUCACCCCGUGAUGUGAUUAAUUAUACAUAGUAAUUGCAAUUAGCUAAUUCAUAUUGUAGUUUACAUCAGCCGAGAGUUAGAAAAUAUGACUGCUUGUGUUGGGUCAAUCUUUCUUCAGUUAGCGCUACGACAAAUGUAGCCUACAUUUUUUCCGGUUAGGAUGAUUGUGUUGUGCUAUAUAUAUA
rnacentral:lncRNA from 1 species